rnacentral:rRNA from 1 species
UGGGGAAUAUUGCACAAUGGGCGCAAGCCUGAUGCAGCGACGCCGCGUGGGGGAUGACGGCCUUCGGGUUGUAAACUCCUUUCGCUAGGGACGAAGCUUUUUGUGACGGUACCUAGAUAAGAAGCACCGGCUAACUACGUGCCAGCAGCCGCGGUAAUACGUAGGGUGCGAGCGUUGUCCGGAAUUACUGGGCGUAAAGGGCUCGUAGGGGGUUUGUCGCGUCGUCUGUGAAAUUCCGGGGCUUAACUCCGGGCGUGCAGGCGAUACGGGCAUAACGUGAGUACUGUAGGGGUAACGGGAAUUCCUGGUGUAGCGGUGAAAUGCGCAGAUAUCAGGAGGAACACCGAUGGCGAAGGCAGGUUACUGGGCAGUUACUGACGCUGAGGAGCGAAAGCAUGGGUAGCGAACAGG